CCAGACCUGAGUGGUACUUAAAAUUUCAGUUACAUGAGGAGACGGGUUUCUUUACACUUGAUGAGGGCUCUUACAGCUCUGAGUUGGAAUAGGUUCAGCAAAGGAGAUCCAUGAGCCAUAUGUUGGUGGCCUCUACUCAUUAUGAAAAAUGCAUGCUUCUGCAGCUUAAAAGCAAACAAACAAGCUUAAAUCCCCACUCUCCUGGUUUUCAUAUGUGGGGACAGUGCCGCAGUGAGUGUCCUGAGAACAAACACUACAAGCCUCUCUCAACCAGCAAGCAGUGCCAUAUACAAUUGCAAGAGUUGCCUGUAAGGAUGUUGAGAAUUUCUCUAGGUUUCCUGUUCCCAACCUGGUGAGUCCUUCAUCCUAGAAGAACCAAGGACAGCCUCUUUGCUCUGUUUGGAGAAGCCUCAAGAAGUCUCAGUGGCCAGCAGUCAAGUUUCAAAUGCCACCAUUGCAGAUGGGGGCCUUGGGGUUAGAGCACCACUCCUGGACACAAACACACAUUUAUGUCCAACCCUGGACCAGGAGAAAUCGCAGAACCAGCAUCCCAGGCCUGACCCUCACAAGGCCUGGCCUGGAGCCUGCCUCGGACAGAGGACCCAAGCCACUCUGAAUCUCUCCACAGCCAUGUCUCUUAGUCAGCCCGGCUGCUAUAAUGAAAUGCCAGACGCUGGGUGAUUUAAACAACAGAUACUUGUUUUUGCAUCAUUUAGAGGCCAUAAGUCUGAGAUAAAAGUGCCAGCAGAUUCAGUUCUUCAUGAGGGCACUCCUCCUGGCUUACAGAUGGAUGGCCACCUUCCUGACAUGUCCCAAUAUGGCCCAUCUUUAGAUAUUGGUCAGCAGCUGUCAUGGACUGGAGACUCCUGGGACCAAUGGCCAAUGACUGUGAGGAUUGGAAACUGCAGUUCCUUGCUUUGUGUGUAGCUCUCUCCUCUGACUUGAGAAUGCUGUUUAAAACGGUCUAGGUAUAGUUCUAAACAGCUGACUCAUCAUUAAGGACAGGUGUCUGCAGAGAAGU
rnacentral:lncRNA from 1 species